rnacentral:rRNA from 1 species
AUGAAGCAGCAGCUGCUGCUGCGCCCGCAGACGCGGAGUCACCUAGCUCUGUCCUGCAGCUACAGUAGCAAGGUGUGGCUCGUCGGCGACGCGCUAACGGGCCAGGAGCAGGAGAGGGCCGAGCCGGGCGCCCACUUCGUGCCAUACUCCCAGUUCCCUCCCAGCGGCGACGCCCGCGCCGACUGCGUCUACCACAGCACGCCGGCGCUCAUGGUGCCGGAAUCCUACGAGAACCUCCACGCCUGCGGGAACUGGCUGCCGAGGAGGGUGAUGAACGCGUGGCGGGCGGCGGGGAUCGUGCAUGCGCUGGAGAAGCGGGGCGGGCACGAGCGCGGCGACGCGGUCACCGACGUAGACAACGCGCGGCGCGCCGCCCUGGCGCACGGCUUCCGGCCCUACGACGUCCACUACGCAGGACGCAAGCUGCUGCCGCCGACGCGAAGCUGCAGGCAACUCGUAGAUGCCAAGUAA